rnacentral:rRNA from 1 species
UGGGGAAUAUUGCACAAUGGGGGAAACCCUGAUGCAGCGACGCCGCGUGGAGGAAGAAGGUCUUCGGAUUGUAAACUCCUGUUGUCGGGGACGAUAAUGACGGUACCCGACAAAAAGUGACGGCUAACUACGUGCCAGCAGCCGCGGUAAAACGUAGGUCACAAGCGUUGUCCGGAAUUACUGGGUGUAAAGGGAGCGCAGGCGGGAAGGCAAGUUGGAAGUGAAAUCUACGGGCUCAACUCGUAAAUUGCUUUCAAAACUGUUUUUCUUGAGUAGUGCAGAGGUAGGCGGAAUUCCCGGUGUAGCGGUGGAAUGCGUAGAUAUCGGGAGGAACACCAGUGGCGAAGGCGGCCUACUGGGCACCAACUGACGCUGAGGCUCGAAAGUAUGGGGUAGCAAACAGGAUUAGAUACCCUGGU